GUUUUUUAAUUUUUUUUCUUUUUUAAAAGGAAAAAAAAAAAGAAAAAAUUAGAAAGUGGGAUUUAUUAGAUCAAAAACCAAUCGCUUUAGAGCGUGGCGGGAUGAAUCAUAAUAACUUUCCGAAUCGCAAGGCUAUAAAUUGAGCCGGCGAUAUAUCAUUCAAAUUUCU
rnacentral:ribozyme from 1 species